CCUACGGGUGGCAGCAGUGGGGAAUAUUGGGCAAUGGGCGCAAGCCUGACCCAGCAACGCCGCGUGAAGGAAGAAGGCUUUCGGGUUGUAAACUUCUUUUCUCAGGGACGAAGCAAGUGACGGUACCUGAGGAAUAAGCCACGGCUAACUACGUGCCAGCAGCCGCGGUAAUACGUAGGUGGCAAGCGUUAUCCGGAUUUACUGGGUGUAAAGGGCGUGUAGGCGGGAAAGCAAGUCAGAUGUGAAAACCAUGGGCUAAACCUGUGGCCUGCAUUUGAAACUGUUUUUCUUGAGUACUGGGGAGGAAGACGGAAUUCCGGGUGUAGGAGUGAAAGCCGUAGAUAUCUGGAGGAACAUCAGGGGCGAAGGGGACUAUCUGGCACAUAACUGACGCUGGGGAGCGAAGGCGUGGGUAGCAAACAGGAUUAGAUACCCGAGUAGU
rnacentral:rRNA from 1 species